AAAUUGAAGAGUUUGAUCAUGGCUCAGAUUGAACGCUGGCGGCAGGCCUAACACAUGCAAGUCGAACGGUAACAGGAAGCAGCUUGCUGCUUCGCUGACGAGUGGCGGACGGGUGAGUAAUGUCUGGGAAACUGCCUGAUGGAGGGGGAUAACUACUGGAAACGGUGGCUAAUACCGCAUAACGUCGCAAGACCAAAGAGGGGGACCUUCGGGCCUCUUGCCAUCAGAUGUGCCCAGAUGGGAUUAGCUAGUUGGUGAGGUAACGGCUCACCAAGGCGACGAUCCCUAGCUGGUCUGAGAGGAUGACCAGCCACACUGGAACUGAGACACGGUCCAGACUCCUACGGGAGGCAGCAGUGGGGAAUAUUGCACAAUGGGCGCAAGCCUGAUGCAGCCAUGCCGCGUGUAUGAAGAAGGCCUUAGGGUUGUAAAGUACUUUCAGCGGGGAGGAAGGUGUUGUGGUUAAUAACCACAGCAAUUGACGUUACCCGCAGAAGAAGCACCGGCUAACUCCGUGCCAGCAGCCGCGGUAAUACGGAGGGUGCAAGCGUUAAUCGGAAUUACUGGGCGUAAAGCGCACGCAGGCGGUCUGUCAAGUCGGAUGUGAAAUCCCCGGGCUCAACCUGGGAACUGCAUUCGAAACUGGCAGGCUUGAGUCUUGUAGAGGGGGGUAGAAUUCCAGGUGUAGCGGUGAAAUGCGUAGAGAUCUGGAGGAAUACCGGUGGCGAAGGCGGCCCCCUGGACAAAGACUGACGCUCAGGUGCGAAAGCGUGGGGAGCAAACAGGAUUAGAUACCCUGGUAGUCCACGCCGUAAACGAUGUCUACUUGGAGGUUGUGCCCUUGAGGCGUGGCUUCCGGAGCUAACGCGUUAAGUAGACCGCCUGGGGAGUACGGCCGCAAGGUUAAAACUCAAAUGAAUUGACGGGGGCCCGCACAAGCGGUGGAGCAUGUGGUUUAAUUCGAUGCAACGCGAAGAACCUUACCUGGUCUUGACAUCCACAGAACUUUCCAGAGAUGGAUUGGUGCCUUCGGGAACUGUGAGACAGGUGCUGCAUGGCUGUCGUCAGCUCGUGUUGUGAAAUGUUGGGUUAAGUCCCGCAACGAGCGCAACCCUUAUCCUUUGUUGCCAGCGGUUAGGCCGGGAACUCAAAGGAGACUGCCAGUGAUAAACUGGAGGAAGGUGGGGAUGACGUCAAGUCAUCAUGGCCCUUACGACCAGGGCUACACACGUGCUACAAUGGCGCAUACAAAGAGAAGCGACCUCGCGAGAGCAAGCGGACCUCAUAAAGUGCGUCGUAGUCCGGAUUGGAGUCUGCAACUCGACUCCAUGAAGUCGGAAUCGCUAGUAAUCGUGGAUCAGAAUGCCACGGUGAAUACGUUCCCGGGCCUUGUACACACCGCCCGUCACACCAUGGGAGUGGGUUGCAAAAGAAGUAGGUAGCUUAACCUUCGGGAGGGCGCUUACCACUUUGUGAUUCAUGACUGGGGUGAAGUCGUAACAAGGUAACCGUAGGGGAACCUGCGGUUGGAUCACCUCCUUA
rnacentral:rRNA from 2 species